UUAAAUGUUUGCCUUUAUAAGAGUUGCUUUGGUCAUGAUGUGUCUUCACAGGAAUAAAACCCAAACUAAGACAACAGCAAAGUAUUUUCUUGGUUAUUACCUGCUGUUUCUGAGUGAGCAAAUUCUGCAUGUCAGAUCUUUGGUAAGAUGUUAGGUCCAGCCCCAACCCCUGUGGGAUGAAUUGCUCUGCUAGCUUGUUGCCCACGGCUUUAGCACACAACAUAGCAGCUGUGGUUAAAAUGGCCAAACAGCAAAGUCCUGAGUCAUUUCCAUGUUCCUGUUUUUAUCCUGAGAAUGUAAACUUGUUUUUCCACUGUGCUUCAGGGGUUUUUCUACCAAGAGCUAAGACUGCAUAUAUAUCUGCCUGGAACCUUGAGUAAACGGCAUUUUCUGAGUACAAAUGUCUCGAGUCUGUAUCUUUCGUUAAAUCCCCCAGGCCUAUGCCCAGUUCUCGGUACUGUGGAUGCUGUCAAGUGUAGGUUCCACUGAGAUUGAGAAAGUGAGGAGCCCCUGACAGGAUUGUUCCAAGAAACCAGCUGGUGAAGUGAAAGGAACGUAUUGGGUGAGCAGCACAGUGGCGAACCAAAAGAAUGUCAUCUAUGUGAAGCUGCUGGGGACCAGAGGACUCUGUCCUGGUUGUGCAGAUCCCAGGCAUAGUUCCAUUGCCUGUCAAUAAUUCAAGAAAAAAUCAACUGAUCUUGACCUGUCAUAAGAGAGACUUUGGCAUCACCGCUGCUAUUGGCACCUUCUCCUUGGGCAUUAUUGUUCUUGGAGCUGCUUUUGUGUGUGCAUUUUUUUCUUUGUUGCCUGGGCAGAAAACAAGCCCAGAGCCAAGCUGUCAAUCGACAGAGAAUGUUAUCUUUGGUGGAGACAACCCAUCAGCCCAGAUAUGGCUGAGCAUAUAUAAAAAUUAGGCAGCCAAGGACGGGUAAGACCAUGGGAGUGUCUGGCAACCUAAGACAGGAGUUCCAUGGUGUGCUGCCCAAUGAUGGGUAAGGCAGACACUGACGUCCAGGAGUCACCUAAGAAGGCGCUAAUUUAUAAAUAAAAAAGGGAGAGUUAUUGGGUCCAGCCCCUACCCCUGUGGGAUGAAUUGCUCUGCUAGCUUCUUGCUAGCUGUUUGCAAGGCUGUCGCACACAAUGUAGCAGCUAUGGUUAAAACGGCCAAACAACAAAGUCCUGAGUCAUUUCUGUAUUCCUGUUUUGAAUCCUGAGAAUGUAAACUUGUUUUUCCACUGUGCUUCCAGGGUUUUUCCACCAAGGGCUAAGAUUGUAUAUACUGUGUGAACCUUAGUAAAACUUUGUCAUUCUCUUA
rnacentral:sRNA from 1 species